CAGAGAGUAGUUUAUAAAAAUAUUAAUUUUGGAGAUUAAUGAUAAGGAUUAAUUCUUCUCUUUGA
rnacentral:tRNA from 1 species